AUUGAACGCUGGCGGCAUGCCUUACACAUGCAAGUCGAACGGUAACAGGUUAAGCUGACGAGUGGCGAACGGGUGAGUAAUGUAUCGGAACGUGCCCAGUCGUGGGGGAUAACUGCUCGAAAGAGCAGCUAAUACCGCAUACGACCUGAGGGUGAAAGCGGGGGAUCGCAAGACCUCGCGCGAUUGGAGCGGCCGAUAUCAGAUUAGGUAGUUGGUGAGGUAAAGGCUCACCAAGCCGACGAUCUGUAGCUGGUCUGAGAGGACGACCAGCCACACUGGGACUGGGACACGGCCCAGACUCCUACGGGAGGCAGCAGUGGGGAAUUUUGGCAAAUGGGCGCAAGCCUGAUCCAGCCAUGCCGCGUGCGGGAGGAAGGCCUUCGGGUUGUAAACCGCUUUUGUCAGGGAAGAAAAGGUUCUGGCUAAUACCUGGGACUCAUGACGGUACCUGAAGAAUAAGCACCGGCUAACCACGUGCCAGCAGCCGCCGUAA
rnacentral:rRNA from 1 species